rnacentral:lncRNA from 12 species
AUGGGGCAGGGGGUGGAGGGAGAAGGCUCUGAGUGUUGUGGUUGGAGGGGAGAGGCCCUGGGGUGCAUCGCCAGCCGGUGUUCUGCAUGUCAGAGUAGGAGCGCGGGGGCAGCUCCGCCGUUGCAGACGAACGGCGAUCGUCACCGCCCUGUGGCUGCACUGGAGGUUGAAGCCAGACACCAGGAAGGACCGCCAACCGCCCGCCCCAGGCCACGGCCAUCUCCUAACAGGAGACUCGCACUCAUGAACCCUAAUUCAGACACAGCGGGGCACACUCCCGGGCACACCUAACACACACAGGAGUGUGGGCCAGGCUGCUGUCACCUGGAUCAAGGGGUAAGGCCCACUGAUGCACACCCAGGAAUCCGCGCACGUGAGCAAGUGCCCACGCACACACAGGGGAGACACAGGUGAACAAACUCACCCCUCUCUGGGUCUUGGACCUUGUGGGGUGAAGAGGGCUGUAGCUCAGAAGUCCUAGGGAAGAGGGGCAGCCUGAGUCACUUCAUGUCCCCUUUACUGUCAGGCCCUGGGUUGGAUCCUGACAGGGAUGGCUCAGCCUACAUCACUUCUUCCAGAAGUUGGGGUGGGGGUGGGGGGUGGGCAUAAAGACCUGAAAUCCAGUUAUUCCUGGUCAUUCUCAUGAGGAGCCAUCCCACAGCCAGAGGCAGGUAAGAGCCAGGGGCUGCCUUCUCAUGGGAGGUCUCCCAGCGUCCUGGCUAGAACAGGUGGGUGGGUAGGGGGGCUGCUGUCAGGAGGACCAGAGGACAACAAGGAACUAGGGAUGGGAUGAUGGUUUCAGGUCCUCCUCUUCUGUGGAGAAUUUUGAGAAGGGGUAGAGGCUGACUCCCGUCAGUAAGGCUCAGCAAGGGGCCUAGCACCAAGAAGCUGCUCCAAAAAUACUAUUAACUGAGGCUUUUUUUUUUUUUUUUUUUUUUUAAAGGAGGGGCACCUAGAUGGCUCAGUUGGUUAAGCAUCUGCCUUCAGCUCAGGUCAUGGUCCCAGGGGCCUGGAAUGGAGCCCCUCAUCAGGCUCCCUGCUCAGUGGGGAGUCUGCUUCUCCCUCUCCUUCUGUUUCUCCCCUCUGCUCCUGCUCUCUUUCAAAUAAAUAAAUAAAAUCUUUAAAAAAAAAAGAAAGA